rnacentral:rRNA from 1 species
UACGUAGGGUGCAAGCGUUAAUCGGAAUUACUGGGCGUAAAGCGUGCGCAGGCGGUUUUGUAAGUCUGACGUGAAAUCCCAGGGCUCAACCUGGGAAUUGCGUUGGAGACUGCAAGGCUGGAGUCUGGCAGAGGGGGGUAGAAUUCCACGUGUAGCAGUGAAAUGCGUAGAGAUGUGGAGGAACACCAACGGCGAAAGCACUCUGCUGGGCCGACACUGACACUGAGAGACGAAAGCUAGGGGAGCGAAUGGG